UACAGAGGUCCCAAGCGUUGUUCGGAUUUACUGGGCGUAAAGGGUGCGUAGGCGGUUGGGUAAGUCUGACGUGAAAUCUCCGGGCCUAACCCGGAAACUGCGUUGGAUACUACCUGACUAGAGGAAUGGAGGGGAGACUGGAAUACUUGGUGUAGCAGUGAAAUGCGUAGAUAUCAAGUGGAACGCCAGUGGCGAAGGCGAGUCUCUGGACAUUUCCUGACGCUGAGGCACGAAAGCCAGGGGAGCAAACGGG
rnacentral:rRNA from 1 species